CCUACGGGUGGCUGCAGUAGGGAAUAUUGCGCAAUGGGGGAAACCCUGACGCAGCAAAGCCGCGUGAGGGAUGAAGGCCUUCGGGGUGGAAAGAUCUGUCAGUGGGGACGAAACCUGACGGAACCCACAGAGGAUGCACCGGCUAACUCCGUGCCAGCAGCCGAGGUAAGACGGAGGGUGCAAGGGUUGUCCGGAAUCAUUGGGCGUAAAGGGUUCGUAGGUGGUCCGUUAAGGCUGGGGUGAAAGGCGGAGGCACAACUUCCGUAGUGCAUUGGAAACUGGCGGGCUUGAGUGCGGUAGAGGUAGGUGGAAUGCCUGGUGUAGCGGUGAAAUGCGUAGAUAUCAGGAGGAACAUCGGUGGCGUAGGCGGUUUACUGGGCCAUGAUUGACGCUGAGGUACGAAAGCCGGGGUAGCAAAUAGGAUUAGAUACCCUAGUAGUC
rnacentral:rRNA from 1 species